rnacentral:rRNA from 1 species
GAUACGCUACGGCGAGCCCUAAUACCACUGCAAGUUUGAACGGUGUCUUCGCGACAUAGUGGCGCACGGGUGCGUAACACGUAUGCACCUACCUUACAUUUGGGGGAUAGCCUUUCGAAAGGGAGAUUAAUACCGCAUAACCACAGCUAGCUGGGCAUCCAGCAGCUGUUAAAGAUUUAUCCGAUGUAAGCUGGCGCAUGCGUCCAAUUAGCUAGUUGGUGAGGUAACGGCUCACCAAGGCAAUGAUUGGUAGGGGAACUGAGAGGUCAAUCCCCCACACUGGCACUGAGCAUACGGGCCAGACUCCUACGGGAGGCAGCAGUAGGGAAUAUUGGGCAAUGGACGCAAGUCUGACCCAGCCAUGCCGCGUGCAGGAUGAAGGCGUUAUGCGUUGUAAACUGCUUUUAUACAGGAAGAAACGACUCUUGCGAGAGGCAUUGACGGUACUGUAUGAAUAAGCACCGGCUAACUCCGUGCCAGCAGCCGCGGUAAUACAGGAGGGUGCACAGCAGUUUGUCCGGAUUUAUAUAGGGUCUACACGGGUGCGCAGGUGGUUCAAUUAAAGUACAAGUGGUAGAAAGACGGCACCUCAACG